UACAGAGGUCCCAAGCGUUGUUCGGAUUCACUGGGCGUAAAGGGUGCGCAGGUGGUCGGGUAAGUCUGACGUGAAAUCCCGCAGCUUAACUGCGGAAUGGCAUUGGAUACUAUUCGGCUAGAGGGUUGGAGGGGGGACUGGAAUUCUCGGUGUAGCAGUGAAAUGCGUAGAUAUCGAGAGGAACACCAGUGGCGAAGGCGAGUCCCUGGACAAUUCCUGACGCUGAGGCACGAAAGCUAGGGGAGCAAGCAGG
rnacentral:rRNA from 1 species